CAAACUGAAGAUGGCGACCGGCGCACGGGUGAGUAACACGUAUCCAACCUGCCGAUGACUCGGGGAUAGCCUUUCGAAAGAAAGAUUAAUACCCGAUGGCAUAGUUCUUCCGCAUGGUAGAACUAUUAAAGAAUUUCGGUCAUCGAUGGGGAUGCGUUCCAUUAGGUUGUUGGCGGGGUAACGGCCCACCAAGCCUUCGAUGGAUAGGGGUUCUGAGAGGAAGGUCCCCCACAUUGGAACUGAGACACGGUCCAAACUCCUACGGGAGGCAGCAUG
rnacentral:rRNA from 1 species